GUGCUUGCUUCGGCAGCAUAUAUACUAAAAUUGGAAUGACACAGAGAAGAUUUGCAUGGCCCCUGUGCAAGGGUGACACUCAAAUUCAUAAAGUGUUCCAUAUUAAA